UCCUUGUCAGGAGCUGGCUGAGA
rnacentral:piRNA from 1 species